rnacentral:lncRNA from 1 species
GCCAUUUUUGAAAAUAAAUUUUUAUUGAUAUCAUUUUUUACAUCACCAAAAAAUUUCCCCUCCUUUUCCCACAAAGCCUUCCCAUAUAUCAAAUGGGGGGGGGGGGCAACAGAAAAAAACCCCAGCAAAACAGAUGAAUACAUAGAAAAAGUCUUAAAAUAUGUAAAAUGUCCAACGACCCACGGAAGACUUCCCACCUCCACAAAGGUGUGGGGUGGGGGUGUCAUCUGAUAUUUUUGCUUUGUUUUGUUUUAUAGUUUUGCAACAUUCACUUCUGAUUGUUUUUAGGACAGUCUUUCCGUUUACAUCGUUUUAAGUCAUUGUGCAUACAGGGAGGUACCAAUUUGUUCUAAUAAGAAAUUUCCUUGAAGUGGUCUCAUUAUUGGAACUCGCACAGCAUAAUUCCAUUGGGCUGGAACCAGGUACCAUAUUUUACAUAAUUAUAACUUCGAAUAGUGUGAAUUCGAAUACCUGAACUGUUUUUCUUGGCUCAAAAGUAGGUGAUAAUUGAAGAUAACAGCAGAAUAAAGGAAGGUGGGGCGGUACUAAACCCAGUCUUAAGUGAGAAGCCAGUUUCACUUCCCACCCUCAAGUCACUCCCUGCCCGCCCUACCAAGACCUGUAGGAAGCCAUCUUGAACCUUGCCUCUCCAAGGAAACUACAGCUCCCAGAAUUCCGUGCGUCACGAGCGUAGUGCUGGCACGGGGCGUGGGCAGGAGCCAUCUUAGUUGCUGGCCGGGCCUCGAAGCAGGGCUAGUCGGCCAGGCGCCAUCUUUGAGGCUGGCAACCCGGAGGGUCCGUGGCUGUUGCCCGAGGAACGAAAAGCAGUGGCGGCAGCGACGGCGACAGACCCUGGCAGCGAAUGAAGGAAAGAGUCGAGGCCGCGGCGGAAGCGGUGAAGAGCGACUCCGGCCUGGUCAAGUUACGCCUUCAGGUUUGGGGAUAUUCCCUGCUCAAAAAAGUCCUGGAAAAUUGACUAGUGUUGUGAGUAAUAAAUUGGAAUUCAUUGAAGACAGACGAUCCUGUGGAGGUCACCCAGCUAAUGUAAGUAUGGAGAUGUAUCAUUUGCCUUUUUUUUUUCUUUUAAAGAGUAGAUAUUUCUAUAAUUUAAAUUAUAAUUAUUUAGAAUAUUAAGGUUAUCUGCAUAAUUUUCAGAAGCACAAGUCAAGCAUUUUAUGCUUUUCAGAAAAAUGAG